GUGAGGAAUAUCGCGCAAUGGAGGCAACUCUGACGCAGCCAUGCCGCGUGCAGGAAGAAGGCGCUACGCGUUGUAAACUGCUUUUAACCGGGAAGAAACCCCAGGACGUGUCCUGGGUUGACGGUACCGGAGGAAUAAGCACCGGCUAACUUCGUGCCAGCAGCCGCGGUAAUACGAAGGGUGCAAGCGUUAUCCGGAUUCAUUGGGUUUAAAGGGUGCGUAGGCGGAGCGUUAAGUCAGUGGUGAAAUCCUGCAGCUUAACUGUAGACUUGCCAUUGAUACUGGCGCUCUUGAGUGCGCUUGAAGUGGGCGGAAUGUGCCGUGUAGCGGUGAAAUGCUUAGAUAUGGCACAGAACACCAAUUGCGAAGGCAGCUCACUAAGGCGAUACUGACGCUGAGGCACGAAAGCGUGGGGAUCGAACAGGAUUAGAAACCCGUGUAGUCC
rnacentral:rRNA from 1 species